AUGCAAGAAAUGCUGGUUUCUGGUACAUGGCGUUCGUCAAGACCUCAUGGCUACCGUCGUGGACCUCAUUUGCCACAUCACGGACUUGCUGGGCGGAAAUGGAAGUUGUUUGUUGGGUUUGCUCGGAUGGUGAGAAGCCGAACUGAACAGAGGAAGUUUGUGAAUGGUUGUGGUCCGGUAGCAGUUCAAUCGGAACAGAGAGAUAUGUGGUGGCCGGAGUGGUCCGAAGGGUGGUGGCUCCGGUUGUGGGAUGGCGCGGCUGAGAUGGAAAUAGCGGUGAUUGUUGGAAGAGUGGCAAAAAUAAUUUGA